AGUGAACGCUGGCGGUAGGCCUAACACAUGCAAGUCGAACGGCAGCACAGUAAGAGCUUGCUCUUACGGGUGGCGAGUGGCGGACGGGUGAGGAAUACAUCGGAAUCUACUUUUUCGUGGGGGAUAACGUAGGGAAACUUACGCUAAUACCGCAUACGACCUACGGGUGAAAGCAGGGGAUCUUCGGACCUUGCGCGAUUGAAUGAGCCGAUGUCGGAUUAGCUAGUUGGCGGGGUAAAGGCCCACCAAGGCGACGAUCCGUAGCUGGUCUGAGAGGAUGAUCAGCCACACUGGAACUGAGACACGGUCCAGACUCCUACGGGAGGCAGCAGUGGGGAAUAUUGGACAAUGGGCGCAAGCCUGAUCCAGCUAUACCGCGUGGGUGAAGAAGGCCUUCGGGUUGUAAAGCCCUUUUGUUGGGAAAGAAAGGCAGCAGGUUAAUACCCCGCUGUUCUGACGGUACCCAAAGAAUAAGCACCGGCUAACUUCGUG
rnacentral:rRNA from 1 species